rnacentral:rRNA from 1 species
GGAAUAUUGGUCAAUGGGUGCGAGCCUGAACCAGCCAUGCCGCGUGCAGGAAGACGGCCUUCUGGGUUGUAAACUGCUUUUGCCGGGGGAUAACAAGAUCUUGCGAGGUCAAUUGAAGUUACCUGGUGAUUAAGCACCGGCUAACUACGUGCCAGCAGCCGCGGUAAUCCGUAGGGUGCAAGCGUUGUCCGGAUGUCUUGGGUUUAAAGGGUGCGUAGGCGGCCCGUUAAGUCAGUGGUGAAAUACAGCAGCUUAACUGUUGAUGUGCCAAUGAUACUGGCGGGCUAGAGUACAGACGAGGUAGGCGGAAUUGACAGUGUAGCGGUGAAAUGCAUAGAUAUUGUCAAGAACACCGAUAGCGCAGGCAGCUUGCUAGCCUGUAACUGACGCUGAGGCACGAAAGUGUGGGGAUCAAAC